GCCAGCCAGGAAGGAAGGAGGAGGCAGUCAGAGUGGCCACCACUGUUCUCUGCAGCAGACCCCCUGCAGCCCUGCCCAGCCCAGCAUUUGCCAGAUCUUCUGUGCUUUUCUGAGUGUACAAUGACAGAGGAGAAGGAGAGGCGCAAUUUAUAACAAAAAUGGAUGUUGUCAAGAGUGUGGAUAAACUAUUCCUUGAUGGCAGAGAGAAGGAAAUAGAAAAAGAGGGUGGAAAGAGAAAACAACAGCCCAUAAAAGGAAGAGAGACUGAAGGAAAUGGUUGCUUAACUAUGCGUGCGCCAGAGUGCUCAUGUCCUCUCCUUAUCAGGCAGACAUAUUCAGAACCAGAAAGUAACUAUCUAGAACUUGCCAAGACUUGCUUCUUCCAACUCAGAUUCCUCAACAGUAAGACUUCACGAUCUGCACACUUAGAUGACUACCUAUUACUUUGGGGAUUUCAGACACUAAUAACUUAAUGGACUCAUUAAAAAGAAGCAAAAGGAACAAGUACAGCACAGUGCGGAAUUUUUGGAUAAAGCUGAAUGGACAGAACAAUUUUAAAAACUGACUAUUUGUGUUGGAAAGGGGUCAUAGGAACAUAGAAACAUAGGAAACUGCCAUCUACUGAGUCAGACCAUUGGACUAUCUAGCUCAGUAUUGUCUUCACAGACUGGCAGCAGCUUCUCCAAGGUUGAAGGCAGGAAUCUCUCUCAGCUCUAUCUUGGAGAAGUCAGGGAGAGUCACCAGAACUUUAAAAAUGCUGAUAUUUCAACUCCUUUUUCUUGGCAGUUUUUCAAUGGAUUUGCAUCAAAUUUGGGCAGGUGACGAUGCCUGUCACCUAUUUGCAAAAUUUUUCAGGGGAGGUGGGUUAGAUUUUAUGAGCAACAGAAUGUUCAGGGUUUAUAAGGGUGGAAUGCGAUUUCAUUCCACACUUCAACUAUAAUAUGCCUGUAUAAUACAUGUUCAUUUGCUCAUUGAAUGUGGCAUGAUUCUAAAUAUAAGAAUGUGUAUGCUUUGCAUGAGCACAUACAUAUAGAUUUGGAAGAGUAUUAAAUGCUAUUUUUUGUAAUGUAAAUAUGGUUUAUUUUGUAAAUAUGUGUUUUUGUGAUACCGUUGCUAUGCUUAGAAUAUAGGUUAAUAAAUAAAUACUUAUCUACA